GUUUAGAGAAAUGAAUAAAAAUGCAUCAUCUCAUGAGCAGUUAUUUGUGCCUCAUGUCUCAAGUAAUUGUUAUAAGCAUAAUGGUUAUGAGAAAACUCCAUGAUGUACCAGGUCAACAAGAAUUAAAACCUAACAACUGACAGUACUUCUUUUUGGGCAAAUGACUAUUUAAAAAUAUUCUUGUUGGGGCUGGCCCCGUGGCGUAGCGGUUAAGUUCAGUGUACUCCACUUCGGCAGCCCGGGUUUGUAGGUGUGGAUCCUGGGCGUGGAUCUAUACCACUCAUCAGCCAUGCUGAGGUGGUGACCUACAUACAAAAUAGAGGAAGACUGACACAGAUGUUAGCUCAGGGCAAAUCUUCUUUACCAAAAAAAAAAAUCUUCCUGUUAAUCAGUUUGCUUUCACAAAUUGUUUCCUAGUCAUUUGUCAAUCAAAUCAGUUGGAUGGUCAGUUGGAAUAAUUGUUCAUCCUGCCUCUGAACUGUUCCUCAUUGGGAACUCAUCAGCUCCUGAGAGAGUCAGCCCAUCCCUCUUCAGUUCUUCAGAUGUGGAUAUUCCUGGUGGCUUAUGCUGAGUUUGUCUGUUUCUGGAACUGAUCAUAAGAAGAAGGGGAUGAUGCAGAAGGAGAGGAAGCAGCUGCAGCUGACUGUCUGUGGGAACUUCCCAACUACAUGACAACAGGGAGUCUGUCUGGGUUUCUUCUGAAUGAAACUACCAGUCGUAUGAAACAUUGUUUGGUACAUCUGGGACUACAAACUCUAAAAAGUAACAUUUGACUCACCCUACUAUAAAGAAACAUAGCUACUUGAUGAUUUCAUGACUUUUAUCACUCCACUGGUAAUUCUGAAUCCCAAAUUUAGCCUAGAGUUUCAAAUCUUUCUUUUCCCAAACACUUUUUACUAGUAUAUUGAGGAUAAGUACAUUUGGUUUUCUUUGGCCCUUGAUUCCAGCACAGGUGGUGAGAAGAAUAAAUUAACCAAGGAAUAGACAAAAAUAGAAUGCUGAUGAGAAAGCAGAGAAAGAGAACCAGGAAGUCUGGACAGGGCUGCCAUUUAAUCGGAGUAAUCAGACAAGCCCUCGCUCAGAAGGUCACAUGUGAAUCAAGAAGUGAAGAAAGAGCGUUUUAGACAGGGGAAAAAACAAAUGUGGAAGUCUUGAGGUAGUUGCUUGUUUGAUAUGUUGGAGAAAGAGCAAAGGCCAGCCUGAUUGAAACAAGCAAGCAAGGAAGAGAAUAAGAGGAAGUGAGGUCACAGAGGGAAGAGCUGGGGGAUGGGAGAGGAAGGAGUUCUCUGUGUGGUAAGAGAAUGCAGCGGGGAAAGGAGAGGAAAUAAAUAUAGAAAGUUGGACGGAAUCAAGGGGCUUCCUUGAAUAUGGCUUUCAGUUGGGUUUGGCCGACGAGAAGCACCCCCAGGAGAUCAACGGCAGGAGGAGCACAGAAUCUCUCUAGCUAUCAUAUAAAGGAUACAUUUUAAAAAGAAAAGAAUGGAAGCCGGGGCCCAGUGCAAGGCAGCAAAGAAGAAUGAGUGAAGGAGUGCCCGGAAUGGACAGAAGUAGUAGGAAUGGAUAGAAAGAGUAAAUCAAAAUAAGGACUCUCACUUUUUGGUUGUGUGACUUACCGUGGCGUAACUCAGCAUAGGAAAUAGAAUUGGAAUGAUGACAUCCAAUUCUGCAUCCAGCCUAAAUCCUUUGUCUAGCACAACAUGGAUUCAUUUUGCUGAAUGAGGUGCCAGUCAUCACAGACCAACAUGUGCUACAGUGUGAUAGUGAGAGUCCAAGAAAUACUGCUCUGCACUCUACCUGAGAGAGAUACAGCACUCCUUAUUUGCAAAGUCUGGAGGGAGAACUGCUUUCUGUGAUUCAUUUUAAUUGCUACCUAAAGUCUAUAAAAUUUAAUGGUUGCCAUUUUUCCCUCAAAGUGGUGGUAACGAAUGCAUUACAUGUUCUUAAGACUGUAUAAAUUGAACUUCUAUAAAAACAAAUCAAUAAUUACUUACACACGUUGCUGUUUUUUAGAUCAACCACCAUCAUUAAUAGGGCUUUACUUAUAAAAUCUUAUAAAGUAUAGAUUAAAAGUAUAGCAAAAGUAUAAUCAUUUAGAAAUACAAAACAAGCAUCCUAAUGCAUAAAGAAAAAAUAAAAUAAAAGUAGCAUACUUGUAGUUUAAAAAAAUAGUUUUGGUAAAAUUAAGUAAAUAACUGUCAAGGAAAAUAUCUGAUCCUUACCAUAACAAUCAAUCAAAUGGAAGAGUCAGACAAAUUUACCAAAGUGAGCCAUGAAGCUACUGGUUUUCAUAAUACAUUAAAAAUUUUAAUUUCAUCUUUCUCAGUUUUUACCCAUAUAGUUCACAAAAAUAGAAAAUUUAAUACAUAAAAAGUAUGUAUGCAAGUGUUUGGUUUACAAUCCAUGCAUCUAUAAGGCCAAAGAUGUCAGUACAGUUAAAUUAACCCAUGGGGCGCAGAGGUUAAACACAAGCCCGGGGAAGCGACAGAGACCAAUCGAACCCCUUGCAGCUGAUUUUAUUCUGCUAGUGAAAAUCCAAUGCUCGCGGCUAACAAGCUCUCGGGGAACCUGUUUCUGUACUUUCUCUAGUUGCACUGAGAAUCAGUAUUUCAUCAUGCUUUGAAAAACAUGUAUGCACAUCUUUGAAAUACUAAUUCCUAUGAUUCAUAAUGACCUUGAGUAGAAGGAAAGGGAAAAAUCGCAUUUUUUAAAAUGGUCUUUUUUUUCUGAGGCUGUCGAGGCACGAUUUGUAUUUUCAGCAUCUGGUAACAGAUUAGAGACUCCCUGGAUCUUAAGGAAUUGACUAAUCUUUACUUGUAUUGAAGACUAAAGACAGAUUGCAAAUAAUGGAUAUCCACAGGGUCCUCUGAGCAUCUGCUACAGCGCGCCUCCCACGCGAGCCACUGCUCGGUAAGGACGUUAUGGCCCUUCCGCAGUGUCAAUGUGAUUCUUGGAGAUGGUUGCCUCUUCUCUGUGUUCACCUAACCGGCAGCAUGUGGCUGGGAUUUGAAGGCGCACAGCGGAUUCCCUGAGCCUGCCGUUUCCUCCAGGGCCAUCUCAGGGCCACCAGCCCAGGAAGAGAUGGCAUAGAAGCCGGAGUGUAGGAGGAGCGGCCAAGUGGGCAAAACGAGCGCAGCACAGCCUGAGACAAGGCCGUCGCCAUGCCGGGGCAGAGCCCGGGACCUGGCACCAGUCCUCGGGGCCUAUGCUUACCCUUCUCCCAUCUGGGCUAGCAAAGGAACACCCGGGCGCUCUUCUUUUCCUGUUGAGCUGUGUGCUCUAAAAUCUGCUCUCCUCCCAGGCUGUGCCGCACGGACUAGCCCACUGAAACGUGCCAACCACUUACUAUGUUGUCAUCUCCUGAAUGUGCACAACUUGAACUUUGCACACGGGAUUUAAGAUGCUAGCUCUAGACAAGAGCCGCCCCGUGCUCAUCACACCCCGUCAGCUGACGACUGUGGCUUGACAGAAAAGCUGUUCAGUAGUUGUCACUCUUCCCUGCCAGAAGCCGGUCUGUGCCACCUCCUGCCCUACAUUGACCGUGUGGAGCUGGCUUUAUAACUGCACCGUCAGUAACUCCAGUUACCCCGACCAGCAGUCUCGAUUGGAGAGUGGCCAAACUGAGAUUCUCAGGGAAGAGGCCAAG
rnacentral:lncRNA from 1 species